rnacentral:rRNA from 1 species
AUUGAACGCUGGCGGCAUGCUUUACACAUGCAAGUCGAACGGUAACAGGCCGCAAGGUGCUGACGAGUGGCGAACGGGUGAGUAAUGCAUCGGAACGCGCCCAGUCGUGGGGGACAACGCAGCGAAAGCUGUGCUAAUACCGCAUACGAUCUAUGGAUGAAAGCGGGGGACCGUAAGGCCUCGCGCGAUUGGAGCGGCCGAUGUCAGAUUAGGUAGUUGGUGGGGUAAAGGCUCACCAAGCCAACGAUCUGUAGCUGGUCUGAGAGGACGACCAGCCACACUGGGACUGAGACACGGCCCAGACUCCUACGGGAGGCAGCAUUGGGGAAUUUUGGACAAUGGGCGCAAGCCUGAUCCAGCAAUGCCGCGUGCAGGAAGAAGGCCUUCGGGUUGUAAACUGCUUUUGUACGGAACGAAAAGGUUUGGGUUAAUACCCUGGGCCGAUGACGGUACCGUAAGAAUAAGCACCGGCUAACUACGUGCCAGCAGCCGCCGUAACAC